rnacentral:lncRNA from 1 species
AACAAGUUAAAAUAUGGUCUAUUAUAUUUUGCACUUCAAUUUAUUGGACAGUGACAAACAUCGCUCGUUUUAUAUGCUCAACGCAAUACAACAAAAACAUCACCUAUUUUGUUUUUGAAUCUAGUUCUAGCUACCACAUCGAUUACCUGGUUUAACAUUCGAAUAGAGGUUCUACAUGAUCAUCCUUUCUUCCAAAGAACCCAGAUUUGUGAAAAUGUGUCGUUAAAUUAAUGUGUAACAUGUUAUAUCUUUGUCUACAUGCAGAUCACGUAAUCUGUGACCAUCAGCUAAACAAAUAUCAUGCAAGUACCUAUUCAACAAGGUGAUGAGGCCAUCUAUCAUCACCUCAACCGCCUUUAGUAUGAGGCAUUGAGGAUGCAGCCAUUGCCUGUCGAAAACAAUCUCUGAAGCAAUGUAAUUCCAUGCAAACAUGUCACCUCUGUGAGGUGAUAAACAUGGAUCCAACCCUUAGUCACAUUGAAUGGGCAUCUGGAGUACGAGGAGAUUACGGUUUGAAGGUCGAUGCCUUAUGCCACCCAUAGUGUAACACCUUGAACCACGUGUGAUAUAAUUUAUGUGAG